UCCACCUCGUACAUCAGAGUGGACUUCUCGUUGUGGAGCUGCGCGUUGGAGACCAUCGCUUUGCGGUACUUCUCCUCUGACUCGGCCAGAGAGUCCUGAACACCACAGUGAAGAUAACACCAAUAUACAAGAAGGACGUGUCACAGCUUCCUCUGCGAGAAGAAGCUCCGCCCAGAGAGGCCAGCGUGGCGGCGGAGAGCGUGGAGGCGGUCCUAGAGCCCUGAGGGGAGGAGCCAGACUCAUCAUUGAUGACAUCACACGCCCAUCAAUUUAAAACGAUUCAUAGUUCUUUUUAAGAUGCUGACAUCCGGUCCCUGGUGUAGUUACACACACUCACCCUGAGGCUCCCUCGGCUCCCCACAGACAUCCUCUCUUCAUCGUCUGACAUCUGAAAAACAACAGUUACAGUUCAACAACCAACGAAGAAGAAGGAGCGGAAAGAAGACAGGAGGACAAACACACCAGAGAAGAAGAAAAGCAGCUCCUUCAUCCGGAUGUCUCGGGCCUCGGCUCUCGCUGCUCGCCGGGUCGCCAGCCGCGCCUCCGCCUGCCGCACACGCAUCACCGUCACACACGCUCCACUUCUGAUGAUGUCAUCAGGCGUCAAAUACAGAGCCUGAACGUCACCUGAGUGGCAGCACCUGUGAUCAUGGGCUGUGACGGCCAACAGGUGUGUUCUCCAGGAACGAGGUCCGUGCCACACGGCGACGUCAAGCUUCUAGAACCCUCUCAGAACUGAAGGCUGUGCCCCAAACACUUUGUACACAGGUGUGUUACAGGUGAACAGAACCAACACGACUAAUAGAACCCAUUAAAGUCAGCUGAGGAAUGUGGAACCUGUGUCACAGCUAAGACACGCCCUCCGUCACCAUGACAACGACACACCUGGGGCGGGGGGCAGACUCAUGUUGAGAUGCAGAUUAAUGUUUGUUAAUAAUGGAGGUCACACACACACACACACACAGGAUAAAAAAUCCUGCUUUUUAAGAGUAACAUUCCAGGGUGUGUGUGUGUGUGUGUGUGUGACUGAAUGUGUACCAACCGGUUUGUGUACCUGCUCAGUCACAUGACCAGUGAACUGCUCUAAGAUCAGGUGAUGCCUCUCUCUGUUUAUGAAUUAAUGAUCCUUUCAGCUCGAUUUCUUUUGGUUUCUAAGUAAAUAACUUCCUGCAUGAACUUCAAAAUAAAAUAUUUUGGUCCAUUUGGAAUCAGUGAAAUGACUAAAAGAGGUCACAAC